AAGGGCUUCAUCAACAAGCUGUAUGCCAUCCAGGAUGUGUGCAUCAGUGUGCAAAAUGCCCUGGAUGAAGUGGCAUCCUAUGGCGAAAGGAUAAAGAACACCUUUAACUGGACAGUGCCUUUCCUAAGCUGGCUGGCCAUCGUAGCUCUAUGUGUGGCAACUGUUCUCAUCUACUAUAUCCCCCUACGGUACAUCGUCCUGGCCUGGGGGGUGAAUAAAUUCAGCAAGAAGCUCCGUGACCCGUAUACCAUUGACAACAACGAACUCUUGGACUUCCUGUCCAGAGUCCCCUCAGAUGUUCAAGUGGUGCAGUACCGAGAGCUGAAAGUGGAUCCCAGUCAUAGUCCAAAUAAAAGAAAGAAAAACAACCCGGGAUAACUGGCUCUGCCCGCCCACUGAAUCUUCCCUCCCUCACCCGUCCGACGCCAAGAAGCAGAGAAACACUGCUUUGAACCAGCUGAACUCUCUCUCUGUCUCUCUCUUUCUCUCUGUCUCUCUCUCUCUUCUACUGACUUAGAAAAUAUAUAUACAUGUACAGGCUCUCGAAGUGUAAUUAUUACAAAGAGACAACAAAGAGAUGAGUUUGGAUGAAAUAGCAGACUAUUUCAGACCCAGGUGUUUACUGAACCAGUCUGACAGAUGUCCAUGUCAUGCCGUCCUCGUAAUGUUCAACUAUGAGUAUCACAGUUAUGAGUUCAUUCAACUGAGGUUUCAGAGAUUUCUCCAUAAUAACUCCAUUAGGAACAUAUAAUUGAACCAUCCCAAAGCUACUUACUAGGGCUGGGAACUGCCAGGGACCUCACAAUGCCUUCAGAAAGAAUUCACUCCCUUUGACUUUUUCCACAUUUAGUUGU